GAAGAACGCAGCUAAUUGCGCGUCAACAUGUGAACUGCAGGAUACAUGAACAUUGACAUUUCGAACGCAUAUUGCGGUCCUCGGAUACUGUUCCCGGACCGCACCUGGCUGAGGGUCGU
rnacentral:rRNA from 1 species